GAGGCUGAGGGGAAAAGAUGGCCUCUGUAUACAAGCUAUCACACCUGGAUGAGCCCGCGGCCCAUCAGCUAGUUGGCGGGGUAAUGGCCCACCAAGGCAACGACGGGUAGCUGGUCUGAGAGGACGAUCAGCCACACUGGAACUGAGACACGGUCCAGACUCCUACGGGAGGCAGCAGUGGGGAAUUUUGCGCAAUGGGCGAAAGCCUGACGCAGCAACGCCGCGUGUGUGAUGAAGGUCUUCGGAUUGUAAAGCACUUUCGACCGGGACGAAAACCCUGAGGCUAAUACUCUCAGGCUUGACGGUACCGGGAGAAGAAGCACCGGCUAACUCUGUGCCAGCAGCCGCGGUAA
rnacentral:rRNA from 1 species